UGGCGGACGGGUGAGUAACGCGUGGAAAACCUGCCGUAUACUGGGGGAUAACACUUAGAAAUAGGUGCUAAUACCGCAUAAGCGCACAGCUUCGCAUGAAGCGGUGUGAAAAACUCUGGUGGUAUACGAUGGUUCCGCGUCUGAUUAGCUAGUUGGUGGGGUAAUGGCCUACCAAGGCAACGAUCAGUAGCCGGCUGAGAGGGUGAACGGCCACAUUGGGACUGAGACACGGCCCAAACUCCUACGGGAGGCAGCAG
rnacentral:rRNA from 1 species